GGGGUGAGGCCAGUUUGGACUCAUGUGUUGGAUCAGUCAGGGAGCAGCUCAUUCACUCGCUCAUGACUGAUUGUUUAUCCCACACCAGCUCUGACUAACAGCUGAGAGUUGGAAAACCACUCUAUCACUUAGCCAUGUCAGCAGAGAGAACUCUGGUGUUCGGGUCAGUGUGGAGUCCUCAGACAAAAACAUAAGAACUGGUAAAAUCAGCUGUUCACAGAUCCGCCUCUGCUGCCUUUAAAAAAACACCUUCAGAGCUAUUUUUCUGCCUUUUAAAGUGUCUUAUUCUUGUUUACCUAAAUGCAGGUGAACAAUCAUGCUCUUAUUCAGGGGCGGAAAUAUAAACAUGAAUCAAAAACACAGAUUAACACUUUCAAAACAAACAAAAAUAUAAUUACACUCAUGAGAUUAAGCAUUAAUCCAUUAUUUUUUCACAGGGUAAUUUCAGACUGAGACAUCUGAGAAAAAUAAAUGAAACAAAAUACACUAAAUGACAUUUUAUAACUUUUUAUCAGGUGGAAGUUAGUCUAAUUUCAGUGGAUUAAAAAAAAUUAGAUUAGAUUAGAUUAGAUUAGAUUAGAUUAGAUUAGACAAGACUAGACUAGUUAAGAUUAGAUUAAAUAACAUUAGAUUUAUCAUAUAAAAUUAUUUUAGAUUAGAUUAGAUUAGAUUAGACUGGAAAAUAAUAGAUAAGACUAGGUUAGAUAAAGUUAAAUUAGAUUAGACUAGGUUGGAUUAGAUUUCACUAGAUUAGAUCAGAUUAGAUUAAAUUUAAUUAGAUUAGAUUAUUUUAAACUAGGUUAGAUUAGAUUACAUCAGAUUAGAUUAGAUUGAUCAAAUAAGAUAACUUUACAUCAGAUACAUUAUAUUAGGUUAGAUUAGAUUAGACUAGGUUAGAUUAGAUUCGAAUAGAUUAGAUGCGAUUACACUAGAUUACAUCAGAUUUGAUUAGACUAGUUUAAAUGAGGUGAGAUUAGAUUAGAUUAGGCUAGGUUAGAUUAGAUUGACUGGAUAAAAUUAGAUUACACUAGAUUACAUCAUAUUAGAUUGGAUUGAUCAGAUAAGAUUAGUUUACAUUAGAAGAAGAAAAACUUUAUUGAUCUCCGAAGGGAAAUUCAAUUGUCUGUUGUCUCAUGUAAUGUCUAUGAAAGUUAUCUAUUAUUUACACAAGAGUAAUAAAACCUGAUGGCUGUUGGUACAAAAGAUCUUCUAAAUCUUUCUGUCAUGCAGCGAAGAGAGAGGAGCCGUCCACCACUAUUUGCCCUUUGGUCCAUCAAAGUGUUGUGAAGUGGGUGAUCCAUGUUCUUGAGAAUAGUCUCCACCAUCCUCAGUGUAGCUCUCUUCACCACAUCCUCCACUGAGUCCAGCUUUCAUCCAACCACAGAGCCAGCCUUUUUCACCAGUUUGUUAAGACGUCUUGCAUCUUUGUGUUUGAUGCUUCCUCCCCAGCAGACUGCAGUGUAGAACAGAACACUUGCCACCACAGACUGAUAAAACAUCUGCAGCGUCUUACUACAGAUGUCUUUUGAUCGGAGUCUUCUCAGGCAAAAGAGGCAGCUCUGCCCCUUUCUGUAGAUGGAGUCUAUAUUCUUACACCAGUCCAACUUAAUAUCCAGACGUACACUCAGGUAUUUAUAUGAUGUCACCACUUUGAUGUCCACUCCACAGGUGUUCACUGGCUGAAGAGGGGGUUUGGAUCUACGGAAGUCUACGUAUGACCAUCUCCUUUGUCUUUGAGGUGUUGAGGAGGAGGCAGUUUUUGAGACUCCAGUCACUGAAGGCUCUUAUUAAAUUUCUGUAUUCAGCUUCUUGUCCAUUUCUGAUACAUGCCACAAUAGCGAUGUCAUCUGAGUAUUUCUGGAUGUCGCAGGACUCAGUACUGUAUUUGAAGUUUUUUUUUUUAGCUACAUUAGAUUAGAUUAGAUUAGAUUAGAUUAGAUUAGAUUAGAUUAGAUCCGAUUAGAGUAGAUUCAAGUAGAUGAGAUGAGAUUAGAUUAGAUUAGAUUAGAUUAGACUCCAUUAGAUGAGAUUACACUUGAUUAGAUUGGAUUAGAUUAGACUAGGUGAGAAUAGAUUCAACUGGAAUAGAUGAGAUUACACUAGAUUAGAUGAGAUUACAUCAAUUUAGAUUAGAUUAGACUAGGUUAGAUCAGGUUAGAUUAGAUUCAACUGGAUUAGAUUAGAUAACUCUGGAUUAGAUUAGAUUAAAUUGAAUUACACUAGAUUACAUCAUAUUAUAUUGGAUUGAUUAGAUAAGAUUAGUUUACAUUAGAUACAUUAGAUAAGGUUAGAUUAGAUUAGAUUAGGGGCUCUAUUUCCGUGCCUCGCCGGAGACGUGCCGCAAGCGCAGCGUCAGUCAGAUCCGCUGCGCUGACAAGGCGUUCCCAAGCACAUUUUGGUAUUUUGGUGAGCCGCGCAGCCCGGCGUAAGUAUCCCCCCUCCCUAACUCAGCUCCUCCCAGCAGCAUAAGUCGUAGACGGGGAGGAGAGAGGGCGUGGAGUGGGUUUAACACAGCCGAGACCUGUUUUCUUCAAUCACAUAAGCUCCUCUCCUUGCCUUUAAAUCCGAGGCGAGGCGUAUUACUAUUUUCAUGAAGUAGUCAAAGAGAUCAAGAGAUGUCUUAAGACAGUAAUGCCACAAGAUGGCGACAGAGGGCAGCUCCUCAACAAGUGUCCUCCACACUCUCUCAUAUGAGCACAGAUGGAUUUGGUGUGUGUAAUGUUGGACCCAGUGGUAAGACCAACACCCUUUUCCACAAAUAAAGACACUCACAUAAAGUUGCUCAUAUUCAAACCUCACGUGACAAAGGUGGGUUGAGCGCACAGAUCACAACAUAAACUCCAAAAAUGGCAUUAAAAUCGGAACCAUCUGUGCGUAAAUGACGCAUCCCGCUCCGUGGCCUGGCUCUUUCUUUCAUAGAUGAUGGCAUAUAAAAUAAAUUUGGCCCACAAAACUGAAUAUUAUAAUAUCCGUAUGUCGGCUUAAAGUAGAUAACGCAUCUGAGCACUGAAACAAAUGAUCUGUUCAGCCGCAGCAGCAGCAAGACGGACAGAGGACACCGAGACCUGUCCAGGUCGAACUGUGCGAGAAAUAAGAGGAAGAGGAAGAAAGAAAAGGAGGGAGACGAAUUACAUAUCUUUAUCAUAUCAUAUCUAUUUACUAGAUAUUUAAUUUAAUUUGAUGCGGUUUCAGCUGUGUUGAUUCGGUCAGGUUGUGUGUCCAAACGCGUGCCAAACGCGCUCAUCAGAUCACAUAUAGAUCAGAAUAUAUCUAUAUAGAUCUAAAUGUAUGUGCUGACUCAGAUUAAUAGUUGAUGAUGAUUAUUUAUUGCACUGAAAUGUGCCUGAUACUGUCGAAACCUGCCGGUGAGGCAUCAGUGACGUAUGUCGAUACGCCGCCGGUCUACCAAAAUACUACUAAACCAGCUGCGCUCCGCCAUGCGCUGAAAGCUGACCAGGUUUGAAUCGGCGACUUUACUCGCCGGUGGCGAGCACGAAAAUGUCACUGCGCCUGCUGAUUCUGUCGACACCUCCCCCUGCCACGCCACCACGCCCAGCUUGGCGGAUCUCGGCUCGCCUCCGUGCGGCUCAGGCCACGAAAAUACCAAACUGGCCUUACGCUGGGCUCCGCCAGACGAAAAAACAACUGCGCGGGGCUCGCCGCCCUCCGCCGCCUCACCGGCGCGCACGAAAAUAGAGCCCUAGAUCUGACUAGAGUAGAUUAUAUUAUAUUAGAUUAAAAUAAAUUAAAUGUGAUUGGAGUAGAUUGGAGUAUAUUAGAUUAGAUUAGAUUAGAUUAAAAUAAAUUAAAUUUGAUUAGAGUAGAUUGGAGUAGAUUAGAUGAGAUUAGGUUAGAUUAGAUUAGAUUAGUUUGGAUUAGAUUAGAUUAGAUUAGAUUAGAUAUAAUUGUAUUUCUCUUUUUGGGAGUUCCUUCCUGUUUUCAUGUUUCAUAUACUGACAGGACAUCUCACACUUUUUGUUCAUCUAAUGGAACAAAACUUCAGAAUUCACUUUUUUUUAAAACACUUGAUUCACUGAAAAACAUCCUUUAAGUUUGUUAUCAGACGCAGUAACCAUGGUAACAGAACUGCUCUGUAGUUUGGCCUCAGCAUUGAAUAAAUUUAAGUUUAGCGACUAACUCUGAGUCUGGGAUUAAACCUAUAGAUUAAACCAGGUUAGGUCCAGGUUUGAGGUUCUAGCCUGGGUUUAGAUCUAGUUCAUGUGUGUCUGGGUUAAGGAUCUGACUUUAAUAUUGUCCAUGCUGGGUUCUGACCUGGUUUUAGUCCAGGUUGGGGUCCAGUCCUCAGAAGUUCAGUUUGUGUUUUAGGGGUUUAGCAGCUCAGUCCUCAGGUCAGAGUCUGAUCAGAGGCUGUAAAUCCAGCAGCUUCCCUCUGUUUCCUCUCCACACACCUCUCCUCCUCCUCCUCUUCUUCUUCCUCUUCUUCACCUCCGUGUUUAUCUUCAGCCUGCAGAUUUGUCCCCCCCCCCCCACUCCUCUCCCUCAGGAUUUACUUCUUCCCUCAUUUCGUCAGAAGAAAACGUCUCCUCUCUCUCUCCAUGGUAACGUCGGCUGUUUUCAUCAUAGGGUGAAUUUCAUUUCUGUGUGUGUGUGUGUUUACUGGAGUGUGUGUUAAAAAGCUAUUAGUGUAAGAGCAGAGUGUUGUGUGUGAAAUAUGUGUGUGUGUGUGUUGUUGGGUCGAUGCUCUUUUGAAGCUCCAGUUCCUUCAUCUACUGAGAGAACAAGGGAUGAGAAAGAAGUGAGGAGAACAGAGGAGAAGGAGAGCGCAGAUUAAAAGUGUAGAAACAAAAAAAUAAAGACUUUAAAGCUGGAGAUAAGAAAAGAAAGAAAUAACAAGAGGAGGAGACAGUUUAGGAAACAAGUCCGAAGGAGACGAGGGAGGAAAAGGAAACAAGAGGGGCAGGAUAAAUUAGACAAGGAGGAAGGAGACAUGAGAAGGGAAGGAGGCAAACUAAGAGCAUAAGAGGAACAGAAGGAAGGAAGGAAAACAGGAGACACACUACAGAGGAGGAGUAAAACUUUAUAAAGUUUGAGGAAGAACGGAAAGAAAGGAAGAAGAAGAGGAAACAAGAAAGGGUAAAAUCAUGAGAACAAGAGGACGAAAAAGAGAGUAAAAAAGGUAACAAGAAAGGAAAGACUAGACUGAAAACAUAGAGAACCAGUCCUCCAUCAUGACCUAAGCUCUAAAGGGUGGAGACUAUUUACAAAGAAACUGACCCCGGAUUUCCACCGCAUCCAGAACAGCUUCGACCCAGAAUGGAGGUGACCAUCUAUUCCUACUGGAUCCGUUGUGAGGCGAAUUUUGUGGCGGAUUACGGACAGCGGGUAUCGCAAGAACUCACUAGAACCCACGGAUUCACGUGCAAUGGUGUGAUAACAAGUUGUCCCAAUAAAGACAGACACAUAGACAUAUAAGCAGUAGAUUGUGUCCUUCCAGAGGAGGAAAUCUACUUCUAGACUUCUAGAAUCAGCAUCUCCUCAUCCAUGGUGUCAUCGGGGUGAAAUGACGUCUAAAAGCCUUUCACUUGUUCGUCCCUGCCUGUUUGCAUGGUGUGAAAUAUGAUCCUCCAGUAACACGGAGUGUUUUAUUGUGAAAAGAAGCCGGAUGUUUUAUUUUGUGUCUGUGCCUGACUUCCUUUCCAGCACGGGUUAAUCUUGAUCGUUGAGCCUUUCCUGUGGCGAUGCCACAGUUUUUUCCAGGUAUGAAAGAUGCUACUCUCUCUCGACAUAAGUGUCCUCCACAGCUAAAAUGCGUUGUUCGGCUUCGUCGACAUGCCUGGACAUAUCUUGCACCUUUUUUUACUAUAUCUCCGAAGAAAGGAGUUGAACUUAGCUUCCAUUAACCCUGAGAUAUUCUCUGUGUUUGUGGUCAUGGCUUUGGCCAAAGCGUGACUUAGCAGCUCCAUCUCCAGCACUUCCGCCUCAUUGUCUUGUGCU
rnacentral:lncRNA from 1 species